AUUCAAUCAGGAAGUCCUUCCUAGCUUCACUCUCGUACAAACACAGUCACUUUGGGCUCCAAAAACAACACAAAAAACUAUUUGGUGAUGGCUGUAACACCAAAUUUAAGGCUACAAACGGUCGUCCACAAACCAACGGGUGUUAAACAAGAAAUUAAUGAAGGAUUAAUUAAUGUGUAAAGAGAGCGAGGUCGACACAGAGAGUCAGAGACGGAGGAAGAACAGUGAAGAGAGAGUGAUGAAACGAGACUGCAACCAUCGGACCGUCCCGGCAGAGACACUGCUGAGCGGCAUGCCAAGUCGACCAUGUCUGUCUCGGCUACCAGAGGAACCAUGUUUGACUCAUCCCGAGAGAAACCAAAAGCCACAAUCAAGGGAGUUAAACAGGAACAGGAGAGGAAGACGAAGAGAGGAACACGGUGACAUCAGGCGGCGGAGAUAAAGAGAUGAGUUCAGCUCAGGACUGAAAAACUGAGGCACGAAUCCGGCCUCGCAUCCUCGUCUUGUUUACCGAAACGUCCACACACGUCUCUCCGGCCCUCACCUCCGUCACAGUGUCAAGGAAAAAUUAAAUGAAUUAUUUACUAGAGAAACUUGUGAGCAAUCCGAGAGCUUUCUUCAUGCUUUCCAGAAUAAAGAAAUCAAAAAACA